rnacentral:piRNA from 1 species
UGAAAGAGCUUCAGAUAAUGA